GAUGAACGCUGGCGGCGUGCUUAACACAUGCAAGUCGAACGAAGCACUUUAUUUGAUUUCCUUCGGGACUGAUUAUUUUGUGACUGAGUGGCGGACGGGUGAGUAACGCGUGGGUAACCUGCCUUGUACAGGGGGAUAACAGUUGGAGACGGCUGCUAAUACCGCAUAAGCGCACGGCAUCGCAUGAUGCAGUGGGAAAAACUCCGGUGGUAUAAGAUGGACCCGCGUUGGAUUAGCGAGUUGGUGAGGUAACGGCCAACCAAGGCGACGAUCCAUAGCCGACCUGGGAGCGUGACAGGCCACGUUGGGACUGAGACACAGCCCAAACUCCUACGGGAGGCAGCAGUGGGGAAUAUUGCACAAUGGGCGAAAGCCUGAUGCAGCGACGCCGCGUGAGCGAAGAAGUAUUUCGGUAUGUAAAGCUCUAUCAGCAGGGAAGAUAAUGACGGUACCUGACUAAGAAGCACCGGCUAAAUACGUG
rnacentral:rRNA from 1 species